GAGCUGAGAGAAUCAUUUUCUCUCAUUCUUCUUUCUUUUUUUUCUUCUUCUACCGCUCCUCUGUUCUUCUUCUUCUUCUUCUUCUUUCUGUCGAACUCAGUUCAAAGGAUUGAGCUUAGUUUAUGGGUAACUCGUAGUUUUGUAGAGAGAUAGUCGAAUCAAGAGUUUUAUUAAGAAGUUUCAGAGAUAGAAAAAUAAGAAAUCAGUUGAGAAGUUAGGGUCUUGAGUUGAUUGAGUGCUUGUGUGGAACAAAAAAGGAGUUGAUGUUGAUAACGGUGAACAAGAGAAUGAAUUUUGCAUGAUGAUGUUGAUUAAAGAAACAAUAGAAAUAAGAAUUAGGGUUCAUGGAUUUAAUUGAGUUAUCUGUUGAAUUGAAUCAAGGAAGAUGAAAUUGAAGGUUUAAGUGACAAAUUAGAGAUGGGUUUUCAAUUGAUUUGAAGAUUGAGUUUUGAGUUAGGGAUUCUGAGACGAAAUCGAAAAUUAGGGUUUUUUAUUGAAUCGAAGUUUGAAUGAAAUUAUUCAGUUGAUUGAGUUGUUCAUAGAUGAAGGAUAAAUGGGUUAUUGUUGAAUUGGUGAGGUGAGGUAGUUCUGUUGAAGGUUCUGCAAAUUAGGUUUUUGUGUAAAUGUUCAGAGAUAUGUUAGACGAAGAAAUUGAAGCUGAUGAAGACUGUAAGGCGUGGAUUGAAGAAGAAUUUGACUGGUAGAAGCUAAACAUGCUAAUGAAUUGAGGUAACUGCUUUUCUCAGUAAACAUAGUAAAGAGAUUAAAUUUCAUUGUUGAGUUUACAAGUUAUUGGGUUUAUGUGUGAUUAGAUUUGAUGAAUGUUAGGAUGUUACAGAGAUGAUGAUGGUGGUGACUAUGAAGAGAAUAUGUUUAAAGUUAGGGCUGAAUUGUUAUUACAGAUGGAACAAGCUUGAUAUGGGUGAACUUGAGUUACAUGAUUGUUAACUUAAGAAGUAUAAGAGUGACUGGUGUUGGUAGUAUCAGCAGAGAGGUUGUGGAACUGAAUUAACUGUGUAAUGGAAUUUCAGGUGGCUGUAUUGAGAUGCAGUUAAAGUUAAAUUAACUGGUAGAGACUCAGUUGGGUUAUAUAGGGUUACUUGAGAUGAAGCAAUUGGGUGUUAGUGAUAUCUUGAGUAAAUGAAAUGCAGAUGAUAAGAUUGUAGUUAUGUUGAUACUGCUGAAUUGUGAAUGGAGUAUGAAAUGAAUGGGGUGAUGGGGUUUACUAAUGUUUCAUUUGGGGCUUGCCACUGCUAUUGCAGGUAAGCCGAGUUUAUGGUUGUGAGUUAGUUAUGAAGCUUACAUAACUUUAAUGUAGGAUUGAAGUAACACAGUUGCAGUGUAAUUGCAGUUGUAGAUGAUUGUACUGAAUUACAAGUAGUGAUGGUGUUAAAUUGAAGUUGCAUUUAACCUAAAACUGGUGGUGAUUCAGUUUAGUGGAUGUGUUGCUAAAAGCUGCAACUGCAGGUAUUUGAGAUGUAAUUAUGUUUGUAAUUUAAUUCUGAAGUUUGUUUAAGAUAAAUAUAUUGAUAUUGAAUUGUUAAAAUGAAAGAUGAGGAGAACUGUGCUUAGUGUAAGGUGCUGGUGAUACACCAUUAUGGUGUGUCUCAGUUUUUGGCCUGUGCAAUGGCCUUGGCAAGAUUGCAUUCAGUUUAGCUGAGUGAUUAUGUUUUAGCUAAGAUGUAACCAGUUAGUUGCCUUACUCGUACGGCUCGGUUUGUCUGACUGAGUCGACUCUUAUGAUUCAGUCUAGGUGACUGAGUUGACUCUGCUUGACCGAUUGAUUACCCUGGACUUGACCUUGACUGGACGUAGACUGUUAGUUGGACCCUUUGGCCUUCAGUGACCGGUAGAUUGACCCAGUUGGGUCAGGACAUGUGUAAUGGGUUUGUUUAAGUGGACUUGGGCUUAGGGCUAGUUAUCCUAGAUUGAUGUUUGGACCAUUAUGGUCUGACUUAGCUUAUGAUUCCUUCUACAUAGUUGUAGACCCUUUUAAGACUUAGCUAAUGGACUAUAAUUUACAACCUAAUUGGAUUAGUAAACUCUUAGUUAUGUUAAAGAUAGAGAAUGAGAUACCAUAAUGGGCUUAGAACCAGUAGAUAGUUCACUUAGCUUAUAACUGGAACUUGUAUGAAUUAUGUUAUGAGUCUUGUGUGAGCCUUUUGGCUAUAUUCUUAGAGUUCUUGUAUGAUUAACAGUUAGUCUAUUAACAACGAUCGAUUCAAAGGAUGAACCAGUGGAUCGUGGAUCUCGAGGUAGGCGUGGCUUGUCAUUAAAAGAGGAACCUUCGAGGGAGGAAGAGCGGGACCUUCAACAAGGCAAGAUCCUCAACAAGUAGAGGUGGUAGGAAUUCUUUAAGCACCAACAUGGGAUCAAGAAAAAAACCUCAGAGAUUUCAGUGUCGAGGGAGAAUGCGAAAGCUUAUUCAACUAUCUCAAUGGAAAGGUUUCAGAUAUUACUUGCGAAGUAAAGCUCUUCUGGAAUAAGCUGACAAAGUAGCAAGGAAUUGUUCAAACUUUUUAGGUCUUCAUUUUGUUUCUAGAUUAUGAAAUGUUAUAGCAGACUCCUUAACUAAUUAUGCAAAGACUUUAAAUUCAUUCAGGGAUUGAGAUGAUAUUCCCCCUCAAUGUAUUCAACACAAACUCUCAGUAAAUAAAUCUAAUAGCCGGAAUGUCCUUCCCUAAGCCUCCAUAUUAUAUGGAUCUAUUAUUGAUGUAA